rnacentral:rRNA from 1 species
AGAGUUUGAUCCUGGCUCAGAUUGAACGCUGGCGGCAUGCCUUACACAUGCAAGUCGAACGGUAACGCGGGGGCAACCCUGGCGACGAGUGGCGAACGGGUGAGUAAUACAUCGGAACAUAUCCAGUAGCGGGGGAUAACCUAUCGAAAGAUGGACUAAUACCGCAUACGAUCUACGGAUGAAAGCAGGGACCGCAAGGCCUUGCACUAUUGGAGUGGCCGAUGUCGGAUUAGCUAGUUGGUGGGGUAAAAGCUUACCAAGGCGACGAUCCGUAGCUGGUCUGAGAGGACGAUCAGCCACACUGGAACUGAGACACGGUCCAGACUCCUACGGGAGGCAGCACUGGGGAAUUUUGGACAAUGGGCGCAAGCCUGAUCCAGCCAUGCCGCGUGAGUGAAGAAGGCCUUCGGGUUGUAAAGCUCUUUCGGUGAAGACGAAACGGUUCAUGCUAAUAACGUGAACUAAUGACGGUACUCACAGAAGAAGCACCGGCUAACUACGUACCAGCAGCCGCGGUAAUACGUAGGGUGCAGGCGUUAAUCGGAAUUACUGGGCGUAAAGCGUGCGCAGGCGGUUUGCUAAGACAGGUGUGAAAUCCCCGGGCUUAACCUGGGAAUUGCGCUUGUAACUGGCAAGCUAGAGUGUGGCAGAGGGGGGUGGAAUUCCACGUGUAGCAGUGAAAUGCGUAGAUAUGUGGAGGAACACCGAUGGCGAAGGCAGCCCCCUGGGUUAACACUGACGCUCAUGCACGAAAGCGUGGGGAGCAAACAGGAUUAGAUACCCUGGUAGUCCACGCCCUAAACUAUGUCAACUAGUUGUCGGGGAAGAAAUUCCUUGGUAACGAAGCUAACGCGUGAAGUUGACCGCCUGGGGAGUACGGCCGCAAGGUUAAAACUCAAAGGAAUUGACGGGGACCCGCACAAGCGGUGGAUUAUGUGGAUUAAUUCGAUGCAACGCGAAAAACCUUACCUACCCUUGACAUGCUAGGAAGCCCGCAGAGAUGUGGGUGUGCCCGAAAGGGAACCUAGACACAGGUGCUGCAUGGCUGUCGUCAGCUCGUGUCGUGAGAUGUUGGGUUAAGUCCCGCAACGAGCGCAACCCUUGCCAUUAGUUGCUACAUUCAGUUGGGCACUCUAAUGGGGCCGCCGGUGACAAACCGGAGGAAGGUGGGGAUGACGUCAAGUCCUCAUGGCCCUUAUGGGUAGGGCUUCACACGUAAUACAAUGGUCGGUACAGAGGGCUGCCAACCCGCAAGGGGGAGCUAAUCCCAGAAAGCCGAUCGUAGUCCGGAUUGUAGUCUGCAACUCGACUGCAUGAAGCCGGAAUCGCUAGUAAUCGCGGAUCAGCAUGUCGCGGUGAAUACGUUCCCGGGUCUUGUACACACCGCCCGUCACACCAUGGGAGUGGGUUCCACCAGAAGUAGUUAGCCUAACCGCAAGGAGGGCGAUUACCACGGUGAGAUUCAUGACUGGGGUGAAGUCGUAACAAGGUA